rnacentral:rRNA from 1 species
UACGUAGGGUGCAAGCGUGUCGGAAUUAUUGGGCGUAAAGAGCUCGUAGGCGGUUUGUCGCGUCUGCUGUGAAACGCGGGGCUCAACUCCGCGCCUGCAGUGGGUACGGGCAGACUGAGAGUGGCAGUAGGGGAGACUGGAAUUCCUGGUGUAGCGGUGGAAUGCGCAGAUAGUCAGGAGGAACGACCCGGUGGCGAAGGCGGGUCUCUGGGCUGUGAACUGACGCUGG